UACGUAGGGGGCGAGCGUUAUUCGGAAUUAUUGGGCGUAAAGGGCGCGUAGGCGGCUUGAUGUGUCAAAGGUGAAAUCCCUCGGCUCAACUGAGGAACUGCCUUUGAAACUGUCUGGCUUGAGGCCGGGAGAGGGUAGCGGAAUUCCCAGUGUAGCGGUGAAAUGCGUAGAUACUGGGAGGAACACCGGUGGCGAAGGCGGCUACCUGGACCGGUUCUGACGCUGAUGCGCGAAAGCGUGGGUAGCAAACAGG
rnacentral:rRNA from 1 species